rnacentral:rRNA from 1 species
GACGAACGCUGGCGGCGUGCUUAACACAUGCAAGUCGAACGGAAAGGCCCUGCUUUUGUGGGGUGCUCGAGUGGCGAACGGGUGAGUAACACGUGAGUAAACUGCCCUUGACUUUGGGAUAACAUCAGGAAACUGGGGCUCAUACCGGAUAGGAGCUACUGCUGCACGGUGGGGGUUGGAAAGUUUCGGCGGUUGGGGAUGGACUCGCGGCUUAUCAGCUUGUUGGUGGGGUAGUGGCUUACCAAGGUUUUGACGGGUAGCCGGCCUGAGAGGGUGACCGGCCACAUUGGGACUGAGAUACGGCCCAGACUCCUACGGGAGGCAGCAGUGGGGAAUAUUGCACAAUGGGCGGAAGCCUGAUGCAGCAGCGCCGCGUGCGGGAUGACGGCCUUCGGGUUGUAAACCGCUUUCGCCUUUGACGAAGCGUGAGUGACGGUAAUGGGUAAAGAAGCACCGGCUAACUACGUG